rnacentral:tRNA from 1 species
GCCAUUAUAGCUCAGUGGUUAGAGCACUGGUCUCGUAAAGCAGCGGUCAUGAGUUCAAUCCUCUCUGAUGGCU